UCCUACCUGAAUAAACGCUUGGAGGUCAGGAGGACAGCAGUGGUGUCGUCUAGGAGUGCAGUGGUGUUGUUUAGGGGUGCAGUGGUGUUAUCUACGGGUGCAGUGGUGUCGUCUAGGGGUGCAGUGGUGUUUUUCUCAGUGGUGUUGUCUAGGGGUGCAGUGUUGUUAUCUAGGGUGCAGUGUGUUACGGGUGCAGUGGUUGGUCAGGUGGUGUUGUCUAGGGUGCAAGUGGUGUUAUCUACGGUGCAGUGGUGUCGUCUAGGGUGUGCAGUGGUGUUGUCUAGGGGUGCAGUGGUGUUAUCUACGGGUGCAGUGGUGUCGUCUAGGGGUGCAGUGGUGUCGCCUAUGGGUGCAGUGGGUAUCUACGGGUGCAGUGUGUUGUCUGGGUCUCUGAUAUCACUUAUUAAUGAUAUCUACAAAGCGCAUUGAUGUGAAUCACACUGCUGCCCUCUCAUUUAGUUAUUUGCGCCGUAGGAUUGUGGGUUGUUGUGGAUUCUUUUCACCAAUGUAUUUUAACCAAUUACAGUGAAUAAUUGAAGGUUUAAGCUGCCUAUUAAUCAUGUUUUUGCUACCAACAAUGAAUAAAAGUGCUCUUGCAACAGCUGCAAAGUCUGGGUGGAUCCCAGCCUGUGGAAUAAACAGUCUGAGGGAUCCCGCCUGUGGAAUAACAGUCUUAGGUGG
rnacentral:lncRNA from 1 species